GGGACCCCCGCCACCUGCUGUUAAUCGAUAGCGUGUUCCGCUAGUGGGGGAGGAGGGAGUGUAGUGGGGCUGUCCGGCUGCAUUGCUCGCAUUGAGAACUUGAUUCCUUAUCGAUUUUUCACGAGUGAACUCGAAAUUUCGAAUAAAAUUCCGAUUUUUGUUUUUUUUCUUUUUUUUUUUUAUUUUGUUUUGUUUUCGAUUUUCGUCAGACACGAGGACGAUCGCUUUUUUUCUUUCUCUUUUUUGGGAGAGGGAGGGGGAUUAUUACGUUAAGUUUUUUUUUUUUUUUUUUUUUUUUUAGAUUAGAAUUGCGUUAGAAUUUUUUUUAGAUUAGAAACGUAAAAUAACGAACGAACGAACGUUAAAGACGAUUACUCGUUUGAUUUAUAGUCGCGCUGUAUUCUCGAUAGUAACACGACCGAUAGCUCGUUACGUUGAUUUUGCAAUCGUAAAUAUAAUGAAUAAAUUUGAAUUAAACGAAUUCGUAAUAACGAACAAUCUCGACGCGUUCAACGUUAUUCACGAUGAAAUAAUUAUAAUUUAAUGCGAUCACCUAUCGUGAAAAAGUAAUCGUUUUAAAUUUUUAUAUUCGUUCUUUAUUUAACGUUAUACCGUCUCUGUAAAAAAUAGCAUAGUUGCAUCAAUUUUAAAGAUAAGAGGAUUCGACUGACGAUCGACGUUACGUAAUCUUCUUACGUAACGAUGCGUUUCUAAUAAAUUUCUGUUUUAUGUUAAAUUUAACGCGUCGAUAAAACGAAUAAAAUUUUAAGACUGUAUAAGAACAAAAAAAAUUUAUUUCGACGAUACGUUUCAUUGUUUAUCUGUAUUCGUUAUCCAUAGAUUAUUGGAUUUUACACUUUAUAUAUUUAUAUUUAUAAAUAUUCUGUCUGAAUUAUGAUGCAAUGAAAAUAAGAGGGAUUAUUUGUUCUUUAAA